rnacentral:rRNA from 1 species
GACGAACGCUGGCGGCGUGCUUAACACAUGCAAGUCGAGCGGUAAGGCCCUUUCGGGGGUACACGAGCGGCGAACGGGUGAGUAACACGUGGGUGACCUGCCCUCAGCUCUGGGAUAAGCCUGGGAAACCGGGUCUAAUACUGGAUAUGACUCCAUGACGCAUGUUGUGGGGUGGAAAGCCUUGUGCGGCUGAGGAUGGGCCCGCGGCCUAUCAGCUUGUUGGUGGGGGAUGGCCUACCAAGGCGACGACGGGUAACCGGCCUGAGAGGGCGACCGGCCACACUGGGACUGAGACACGGCCCAGACUCCUACGGGAGGCAGCAGUGGGGAAUCUUGCGCAAUGGGCGAAAGCCUGACGCAGCGACGCCGCGUGAGGGAUGACGGCCU